rnacentral:misc_RNA from 1 species
AACGGUCUAUACCUGCGGUACCUGCGGAGGGAUCAUUACCAAAAAUUCAAUGGUUGGCGAUGUGGGUAGAUUGAUAGAUUGUCAUUGGAUAAUUAAAAUAAUUAGUUAAUGUCGAUUGGUCUAUCCAUGUCGCUUUCUAUUUAUAACCCCAUAUGUGAACCAAUGGAAUGAUGUGUGGAGUCUGAAGAUGGUCCGGGAUUGGUCCAUCUCAAGACAAAAACGCGCAUCAAACCACAAAAA